UACGAAGGGGGGCUAGCGUUGCUCGGAAUCACUGGGCGUAAAGCGCACGUAGGCGGCUUUCUAAGUCAGGGGGUGAAAUCCUGGAGCUCAACUCCAGAACUGCCUUUGAUACUGGUAGUCUCGAGUCCGGAAGAGGUGAGUGGAAUUCCGAGUGUAGAGGUGAAAUUCGUAGAUAUUCGGAGGAACACCAGUGGCGAAGGCGGCUCACUGGUCCGGUACUGACGCUGAGGUGCGAAAGCGUGGGGAGCAAACAGG
rnacentral:rRNA from 1 species